CAAGUCGAGCGGAUCUUUGGGAGCUUGCUCCUAAAGGUUAGCGGCGGACGGGUGAGUAACACGUGGGCAACCUGCCUAUAAGACUGGGAUAACUUCGGGAAACCGGAGCUAAUACCGGAUCANUCNUUUCUACACAUGUAGAAAAGCUAAAAGACGGUUUACACUGUCACUUAUAGAUGGGCCCGCGGCGCAUUAGCUAGUUGGUGAGGUAACGGCUCACCAAGGCCACGAUGCGUAGCCGACCUGAGAGGGUGAUCGGCCACACUGGGACUGAGACACGGCCCAGACUCCUACGGGAGGCAGCAGUAGGGAAUCUUCCGCAAUGGACGAAAGUCUGACGGAGCAACGCCGCGUGAGUGAUGAAGGUUUUCGGAUCGUAAAACUCUGUUGUUAGGGAAGAACAAGUACGAGAGUAACUGCUCGUACCUUGACGGUACCUAACCAGAAAGCCACGGCUAACUACGUGCCAGCAGCCGCGGUAAUACGUAGGUGGCAAGCGUUGUCCGGAAUUAUUGGGCGUAAAGCGCGCGCAGGCGGUCCUUUAAGUCUGAUGUGAAAGCCCACGGCUCAACCGUGGAGGGUCAUUGGAAACUGGGGGACUUGAGUGCAGGAGAGAAGAGUGGAAUUCCACGUGUAGCGGUGAAAUGCGUAGAGAUGUGGAGGAACACCAGUGGGCGAAGGCGACUUCUUUUGGCCUUGUAACUGAC
rnacentral:rRNA from 1 species